UGUAAGCGUAUACCAAAGUUGUUGCAGUUAAAACGCUCGUAGUCGGAAUUUGGCAGUUCCGGAUGUGUGCACGUCGUGUGCGCACUUCGCGGGGAUUGCUUUUGUGGUCUUGCGUAGGAUGAGGCACUUUUAUUAGUGAACGUCCUCACGCAACCACUUUUUACUGUGAGAAAAUCAGAGUGCUCAAAGCAGGCAUUUGCCGUGAAUGUAUUAGCAUGGAAUAAGAGAAUAGGACUUGGUUCUAUUUUGUUGGUUUGUUGGGACUGAGUAAUGAUUAAGAGGGACAGUUGGGGGCAUUUGUAUUUCGGUGCUAGAGGUGAAAUUCUUAGAUUACCGAAAGACAAACUGCUGCGAAAGCGUCUGCCAAGGAUGUUUUCAUUGA
rnacentral:rRNA from 1 species